rnacentral:lncRNA from 1 species
GCUUCAAGAUCUAUGGGACGAUGACGAAGGUUCUCAAGAAACAGACCGAGCUGUUGAGUCUGUUGCACAAAUCACCACUACACUUGAAUCUGAACCAGCUACUGCCCAAACAACACUUGUUGAAGCUUCUGCCAUCCAAGAGACAGCAACUACUGUCAAAAAUUCAGACUUUGCUGCUGUCCAAACUACUGCAAAUAGAGACAACAGUUGCUGCCCACCUGCUGAAAAUUCCACAAUUACAUCAGCAAUUUCUAAACAUGCUGUCCAAAAAUUAGCAAGUGCUGAAUCUACCACCAUUACAUCCCUUGUUGUUGUCCAAAC